AUGUGGCACUAUCCUUUUAUCAUUGAGCCACUUUCUCUAAUCUUCAGGCAAGCACCCGAAGCAAUUAUUGCCGCCAUAAACGAGAGAUGCGGCACACAUGUAGAUCCACACGUACACAGAAUGAAUGACCGAAGAAAACUAGAUGUGGAUCGAGGGUGGCGGCUCGGAAGGGUUCCCUCAGCGUCGACCUCUCCUGCUGCUUGGUGGCGAGAUGUAAUCGUCCAUAGUGGUCCGAGGUACAAGAAGGAGGACUCGGAAUGUGGUGUUUACUCAAUUGUGAAGCACAAGACAUUUUCCUUAAGGGAUGCAUGA
rnacentral:rRNA from 1 species